rnacentral:rRNA from 1 species
AACGUAGGAGGCAAGCGUUAUUCGGAUUUACUGGGCGUAAAGCGCGUGUAGGCGGUUUGGAAAGUUGGAUGUGAAAGCUCCUGGCUUAACCGGGAGAGGUCGUUCAAUACUUCCAGACUUGAGGAUGAGAGAGGAAAGUGGAAUUCCGGGUGUAGUGGUGAAAUGCGUAGAUAUCCGGAGGAACACCAGUGGCGAAAGCGGCUUUCUGGCUCAUUACUGACGCUCAGACGCGAAAGCUAGGGUAGCAAACGGG